rnacentral:rRNA from 1 species
UACGUAGGUGGCAAGCGUUGUCCGGAUUUAUUGGGCGUAAAGGGAGCGCAGGCGGUGACUUAAGUCUGAUGUGAAAGCCCGGGGCUCAACCCCGGAACUGCAUUGGAAACUGUACAGCUUGAGUGUCGGAGAGGUAAGCGGAAUUCCUAGUGUAGCGGUGAAAUGCAUAGAUAUCGGGAGGAACACCGGUGGCGAAGGCGGCUUUCUGGCCAGUUACUGACGCUCAUGCCCGAGAGCUGGGUUAGCGAACCGGAUUAGAUACCCUGGUAGU